GAGGGCCAUCCACCAUCUUUUUGUAAAUCUCUAAUAAAGAAACUUCCAUGACUUCUCUAGGCAGUUUGUUAUAUUGUCCUACUAUUCUUACAGUUAGGAAGUUGUUCUUGAGAUAUAAUCUAGAUCUACUAUGCUGUAGUUUGAACCCACUGCCUCUUCUGUGUUGCAGUUUUCCUCC